rnacentral:rRNA from 1 species
AACGAACGCUGGCGGCAGGCCUAACACAUGCAAGUCGAGCGAGGACUUCGGUCCUAGCGGCGGACGGGUGAGUAACGCGUGGGAACGUGCCCUUUGCUUCGGAAUAGCCCUGGGAAACUGGGAGUAAUACCGGAUGAGCCCUUUGGGGGAAAGAUUUAUCGGCGAAGGAUCGGCCCGCGUUGGAUUAGGUAGUUGGUGGGGUAAUGGCCUACCAAGCCGACGAUCCAUAGCUGGUUUGAGAGGAUGAUCAGCCACACUGGGACUGAGACACGGCCCAGACUCCUACGGGAGGCAGCAGUGGGGAAUCUUAGACAAUGGGGGAAACCCUGAUCUAGCCAUGCCGCGUGAGCGAUGAAGGCCUUAGGGUUGUAAAGCUCUUUCAGCUGGGAAGAUAAUGACGUUACCAGCAGAAGAAGCCCCGGCUAACUCCGUG